AACAUCAUCUUCUUGCAACAGUACCAAA
rnacentral:piRNA from 1 species